rnacentral:rRNA from 1 species
CAGCAGGGACGAAAAUGACGGUACCUGCAGAAGAAGCCCCGGCUAACUACGUGCCAGCAGCCGCGGUAAUACGUAGGGGGCAAGCGUUGUCCGGAUUCAUUGGGCGUAAAGAGCUCGUAGGCGGUUCAGUAAGUCGGGUGUGAAAGCUCCGAGCUCAACUCGGAGAGGCCACCCGAUACUGCUGUGACUUGAGUCCAGUAGAGGAGCGUGGAACUCCUGGUGUAGCGGUGGAAUGCGCAGAUAUCAGGAAGAACACCUGCAGCGAAGGCGGCGCUCUGGGCUGGAACUGACGCUGAGGAGCGAAAGCGUGGGUAGCAAACAGGAUUAGAUACCCUGGUAGUCCACGCCGUAAACGUUGGGCACUAGGUGUGGGGAGCCGUCAACGCUCUCUGUGCCGUAGCUAACGCAUUAAGUGCCCCGCCUGGGGAGUACGGCCGCAAGGCUAAAACUCAAAGGAAUUGACGGGGG